rnacentral:lncRNA from 1 species
GGCUGCAGCCCAUGGAGAGAGCCUGUGAAGGAGCAGAGAAGGAGUGGAAUGAGAAACUACUGUGUACUGACCCCAUCCACCUGUGCCAUCGGAGUUAGGGGUGGAAGGCUCCACAGUGAAGCUGAGCAUGGGAAAGGGAAUAUAUGUGUUGCUGACUCUAUCAAUGGCCUUCAGAAUCUCUUCAUCUCAAACAACAUUGGAGAGAAGUUGUACUGCACUACAAAGGCUGAAAGUGCCUUGAUAGUAAUUGCUUCAAGAAUACUAUUUGCCUUCUGCCAAGAGAAAGCCCUGCCAACAUAUAAAUGGAAGUGAAGUGGGAAAGGAAGCACAGAACUCGUUGCUAAUGUUUAACCUGUGAACAAAUCCAUCUACACAGGAUAACAAAAAGACAACACACAAACCUGUAAUUCUCCUACAAGAAAGAUCAUUUAAACCAGCUUGUCAUUUUUCCAUAUAUAAAGCAAAUAAACUAUCAGCCUUAUCUGAAGUCUCCA